rnacentral:rRNA from 1 species
GAUGAACGCUGGCGGCGUGCCUAAUACAUGCAAGUCGAGCGAACAGACGAGGAGCUUGCUCCUCUGACGUUAGCGGCGGACGGGUGAGUAACACGUGGAUAACCUACCUAUAAGACUGGGAUAACUUCGGGAAACCGGAGCUAAUACCGGAUAAUAUAUUGAACCGCAUGGUUCAAUAGUGAAAGACGGUUUUGCUGUCACUUAUAGAUGGAUCCGCGCCGCAUUAGCUAGUUGGUAAGGUAACGGCUUACCAAGGCAGCGAUGCGUAGCCGACCUGAGAGGGUGAUCGGCCACACUGGAACUGAGACACGGUCCAGACUCCUACGGGAGGCAGCAGUAGGGAACCUUCCGCAAUGGGCGAAAGCCUGACGGAGCAACGCGGCGUGAGUGAUGAAGGUCUUCGGAUCUUAAAACUCUGUUAUUAGGGAAGAACAAAUGUGUAAGUAACUAUGCACGUCUUGACGGUACCUAAUCAGAAAGCCACGGCUAACUACGUG